UGGACAUCUUGUUUUUGUUUUUUUGUUUUGUUUUUUUUUUCUCUCUCUCUCUCUCUUUGAAUAAAUGUCACUUUUUGAGGCAAAAAGAAGGAACCGUGAACAUUUUAGACACCCUUUUCUUUGGGGUAGGCUCUGCCCCAGGCGCCGUCUCCUUCCCCCCCAAACACUAAUGCAUUUCCCUAACCUAAUCACCUCAUUCCUAAAGGCUUUCCUACCCCAGCCAAAUCUCCAAAAGUGAGUCAAGGGGCUAAAACAUGGCUGGCCUCAUUUGCUGGACCAAAUCUACAGGGAGAACCCCCUGAAUGAGGUUGUCCAGGGACUUGUCCCCAGGUGAGGGGAGCAGGG
rnacentral:lncRNA from 1 species